UACGUAGGGGGGCAAGCGUUGUCCGGAAUCAUUGGGCGUAAAGCGCGUGUAGGCGGCCCGGUAAGUCCGCUGUGAAAGUCCAGGGCUCAACCCUGGAAUGCCGGUGGAUACUGUCGGGCUCGAGUCCGGAAGAGGCGAGUGGAAUUCCUGGUGUAGCGGUGAAAUGCGCAGAUAUCAGGAGGAACACCAAUGGCGAAGGCAGCUCGCUGGGACGGUACUGACGCUGAGACGCGAAAGCGUGGGGAGCAAACAGG
rnacentral:rRNA from 1 species